rnacentral:rRNA from 1 species
GUGAGGAAUAUUGGACAAUGGGCGCAAGCCUGAUCCAGCCAUGCCGCGUGCAGGAAGACGCAUCUAUGGUGUGUAAACUGCUUUUGUACGGGAAGAAACACUCCCUCGUGAGGGAGCUUGACGGUACCGUAAGAAUAAGGAUCGGCUAACUCCGUGCCAGCAGCCGCGGUAAUACGGAGGAUCCAAGCGUUAUCCGGAAUCAUUGGGUUUAAAGGGUCCGUAGGCGGUUUAAUAAGUCAGUGGUGAAAGCCCAUCGCUCAACGAUGGAACGGCCAUUGAUACUGUUAGACUUGAAUUACAAGGAAGUAAAUAGAAUAUGUAGUGUAGCGGUGAAAUGCUUAGAUAUUACAUGGAAUACCAAUUGCGAAGGCAGGUUACUACUUGUGGAUUGACGCUGAUGGACGAAAGCGUGGGGAGCGAACAGGAUUAGAAACCCCGGUAGUCC